GGAGGUGGGGGCGGCGGCGGGGGGGGCGCCGAGGGGCGCAGCGGCGCCGGCCGGCGGGCGGGCGGGGGGCGGGCGGGCGUCCCGGCGCUGCCUCCGCGCUCAGCCCCGGAGCGCAAGUGUCCUCCCGCGCUCGCCGCACGACGGACGCGGAGCCCAGGCAGCCCGGCGCGGUUGCGGCUCGCGGCGUCCCCGGGCUCGGCCCCCCCGCCCCCCCGGCAUCCCGGGCGCCCCCCCCCGCCCCGGCCCUGCCCCCCGCGCCCGGCUCCCGCGGCUCCCGCGGCUCCCGCGGCUCCCGCGCCCGCUCGGGAAGCUAACGGCUCGCCAGCCGAGGCCCCGCGCACGGCCACCUCGCCGCGCGCCCAGACCCCGCGUCCCCCGCGCCCCCGCGCCCCCCGCGCCCCGCGCCCCGCGCCCGCCUCCUACCCUGUGGCCAAAAUCCCGCCCAGAGGCGCGGCGCCGGGCCGGUGCGACACCGCCCCCCCGCCCCGCGCCCCGCGCCCCGCGCCCCGCGCCCCGCGCCCCGCGUCGGAGAGUUGCCGGCGCCCCUGGGCCCCCCGCCCUCGCAGGGCCCGGCGCCCGCGGCCGAGGGGCAGGAGGCGGCGCUCCGCCGCGGUGCUCACCCCGCUCUCCCGGCGCCCGGCUCCGCCCCCGGGCUCGGACGGGGGCGCCCGCUCGGCCGGCCGGCGCGGGGCUGAGGCUCCCGGGGCGGGCGCUGCAGGGCCCCAGCCGAGCUGCCCGUCAGAGCUGCGGUCCGCGGCGGCGGCGCUCGGGCUCUCCGCGUGCUCCGGCGCCCGCCUCCGGCGCCGCCCCCGCCCCGCCCCGGCCCGGCCCCUCGGCGCGCGGCGGCUCGGCUCGGCCCGGACCGCGGCGGGCGCGUGGGGGCGCGUGGGGCCGCCCCGCAGCCGAGCCCCGCAGCCCGUGCCCCGCCGCCCGCGCCCCGCCGCCCGCGCCCCGGGCCCCCGGGCUGUGGUCGGAGCGGCGCGGCCGGAGCCGGGGCCCCGAGGCGGGCAGCUCCACCGGCCUCUGACCCCGGCGCCGCGGGGCUCGCAGGGCUCGCGGGGCUGGGAGGGGGCGGCGAGGCCGGCCUGGCGCCCCCCGCCGGUGCGGCUCCCUCCCCGCCGCCGGGCUCCGCCGGAGGCCGCGCAGCCUCCCGCAGCCUCCGCCCCCGACCGGGACCCGCUCCCCGGGCACCCCGGGCCCCGGUGUCAAGGGAGCGGAGGGCGCGGGCGCGGGCGCGGGCGCGAACGGGAGCUGGCGCGGGGCCCCGGGCCGGGCGGCGCCCCCGAGCUCGCUGGGCCCCGCCCGCUGCAGGCGACCCCGGCCCCGGCCCCGGCCCCGGCCCCGGCCCGCGGCGGCCGCGCCCCCCGCCCCGAGCGCCGCAGCGGCCCCUGCAGGCGCGGGCGGCAGGCCUGGGACCGGCCCUCCCAGGCUGGCGGGGACCGCAAGGGACAGCGGAGGGCGCCCGGCCUGCGCUACCCACGUGCGGCCUUGCGCGAGCCGCACGCCUCUCCCUCUCCGAGGCCGGCCUGGCCCUGCCCCUGCCCCUGCCCCCGCGCUGCUGCGAGUGGCCUGCGGGCUGUGCAGGGCGUCACGCGGGCGCUGCAGGGGCGCGGGCAAGGUCGGGCCUGCGGCUCCUCGCGGGCUCCCCCUCUCCUGCCGACCCCUCCCCGACCCGCUGCCCUUGCCGGCUGCCUUCUUCCAAUGGCUGAAACCCACAGGGCAGAAAGGAUCCCCAGCCUUGUGCCUCGGCCCCACGUGCCCCCCUUUCUGAGUGUUCUUGCCCUGCGGUUGCAGGUUGCGGGCGCUGUCAGCCCCAAUGCACCCGGGGCAGGGAGGCCUGCGCCGCCCCCAGGCGCCCGGGUCAAGGCCCCUCGGGUCAUUUUCCUGAGCGGGUUUUCAUCGUCUGUGUGUUGUCUCUCCGCCCCUGCAUCGCAGCAGCCCCGGCGCGUCAGCUCCACGGGAGCAAGAACUUUGUCUUGGUCACUGCUACGCCGAGGGCCGGGACCCUACCAGUCACCCACCCCCCACCCCCACCCGCGGCCCACCGCAGAUAUCUGUGGGCUCAGCAACAAACGUGCCAUUCUGUAA
rnacentral:lncRNA from 1 species